rnacentral:rRNA from 1 species
CCCUUAGAUGUUCUGGGCCGCACGCGCGCUACACUGAAGGGAUCAGCGUGUUUUCCCUUUCCGAGAGGAACGGGUAACCCGCUGAACCCCCUUCGUGGUAGGGAUCGGAGCUUGCAAUUGUUCUCCGUGAACCAGGAAUUCCCAGUAAGCGCAAGUCAUAAGCUUGCGUUGAUUACGUCCCUGCCCUUUGUACACACCGCCCGUCGCUACUACCGAUUGAACGUUUUAGUGAGGUAUUUGGACUGGGCCUUGGGAGGUUUCGGCCUUCCUUGUUGCUCGGAAAGACUCCCAAACUUGAGCGUUUAGAGGAAGUAAAAGUCGUAACA